rnacentral:lncRNA from 1 species
AAAAAUGAUCAAAAAUAAAAUGGAAAAUGAGAAUUAAAUGAAAAAUAAAGAAAAAUAUCAAUUAAAUGCAAAAAUGAUUUUAAAAAUUAUGAAAAAAAUAUAUGUGAUGCAAAAUAUUUUUUAAGGAUUUAAAAAAUUGGAGAAAAAAAAGAAUUAAGGACCAAUCAGAAUUAAAUAAGAAAUCAAAAAGGAAAUAAAAAUGAAAAAAUUAAAA